ACCGUGGCUUUAGAUUGUUACUGUGCCGCUGGGGGGGUAACAGUCUACAGCCAUGGUCG
rnacentral:pre_miRNA from 1 species